rnacentral:lncRNA from 1 species
GGUAAAUAAGGGAACAAUUGUAAUUUUUAAAUAUGUAUUCAUGAUCUUCAAUAAAAUGAAACAGCUUAGAGGAAUUGUACUUUGUUUAACAAAAAAAUAACCUUUACUUCAAUAGAAAUUGCUAAGGCAAUUUAAAAUGUAAACAUGUUCCGCCCAAUGCCUCCCAGCUAUUGCUUAAAGAUAUAAAAAUAAAUCAGACCCCGAGACUUCUCAGAGGGAACCUGGACAUUGCUUGUGGAGGUUCUUUCUCAUCGCCGACCCAGGACAUUUCCCCUUCCUACCCUACACCGACUGCAGCUGAAUCCACGGUUGAAAAGAUACCUGCCUGAGUGAUGCUGGUGGGAACUGCUCAGUGGUUAACCCUGGGAGCCAAAUGAAUGGCCAUCAGCAGAGGAUGCGGGACAGCUGUGCUCCACCCCCAUGACGGUGCCACCACUGAGGAGGAGCAGAGCGCAAGGAUCCCAGCCCUGUGUUGCUGCUUGAAGAAGACCUGCCGGAAACAUUUAUACUGAAUGGUUCCAGCUCCACCCCUCUCUACUCCACCAGGGACAAAAAGCACGUGGUCAGCUUGGGAUGAGAGGACAGGAGGGGAUAGCAGCGCCACAAGAGACGCUCCCAAGUGAUGCGUGAGAGUGUUCUGCAUCCCCGCUGGGUGGGAGGUUUCACAAAGGCUGCUGUCCCCUCGCACUGUCUCUGCACUGCAUACUGCACUUUGUGUUGAGUUCGGUAUCUGUGCUUAAGUAGCUAUCCAUGUGCACUUGAAAGUUAUGACCUGCUGUGAAUCCUCCACUCCUGGCUACCCAGGGGUUAUCAGCUGAAACUUUUGUAUCCUUUAAAGAAAAUUAUAUUGGACAUUUUGGGAUCAUCUCCAUAGUCCCUAUUGGAAUUGAAAGGCAAUUGAAGUCAACCCAGGAAAGAAAAUCAUCCUCAAAUCCAUCAGAUCUCUAAGUGCUGACAUGAGCACUGUGUCUUGAGAGAGAUGGACCCUUUGGAUGGGAAAGCACACUUCUCCCUGUGCCUGCUGCCUCUUAAGCAUCUACACAUUUGCCAAGUUAAAACUUUUGAUUCAUCAAACUCUAACAUCACAGGCAGCUUUUCUGGUUUCUCAUUGCUGUUUCUAAGGAGCACACAGAUAGAUGUGUUCCACUAUGAAAGGAAG